GACGAACGCUGGCGGCGUGCUUAACACAUGCAAGUCGAACGAAGUGGCGAACGGUUGAGUAAUACGUGGGUAACCUGCCCUCCUUUUUGGCAUAAGCCUUGGAAACGGGGUCUAAUACCGAAUACAGUGGGAUGGGCUCGCGGCCUAUCAGCUUGUUGGUGGGGUGAUGGCCUACCAAGGCGGUGACGGGUAGCCGGCCUGAGAGGGUGAACGGCAAGAUUGGAACGGCGAUACGGCUACGACUGCUACGGGAGGGAGAAGUGGGGGAAUGUGCACAAUGGGCGACAGGCUGAUGCGGCGACGGCGAGUGGGGGAUGAAGGCUUUCGGGUUGUAAACCUCUUUAGAUAUCGAAUGGGUAGGUGGAGAAGAAGCGCCGGCUAACUACGUGCCAGCAGCCGCGGUAAUUC
rnacentral:rRNA from 1 species